UACGGGGGGGGUAAGCGUUGUCCGGAAUUACUGGGCGUAAAGAGCUCGUAGGUGGUUUGUCGCGUUGUUCGUGAAAACCGGGGGCUUAACCCUCGGCGUGCGGGCGAUACGGGCAGACUUGAGUACUGCAGGGGAGACUGGAAUUCCUGGUGUAGCGGUGGAAUGCGCAGAUAUCAGGAGGAACACCGGUGGCGAAGGCGGGUCUCUGGGCAGUAACUGACGCUGAGGAGCGAAGGCGUGGGGAGCGAACAGG
rnacentral:rRNA from 1 species